GUAUGACCAAGUCAAGCAUAGAUUAUACACUUAAUAUAUUUGAGAAAGUCAAGUAUUAUGAUUUUUUCGUCGUUUUAAUUAUUUAGAGUUUAUGAAUAAUAAGAAACGAAGGAAACUGUCCAUGUUGACCAUUAUUAAUAUCAGUAGAUACUAAACAGUUAAUAAACAUUUAAACCUGAAGAAACACUAAAUAGAUAAAAUAAAACAAAUCACACAACUUCACUCUUCGCGAUCCCGCCAAAAAGGCAAAGGGUUUGAUAAUAGCACUCAGUUUAUUUUUUGCUACCUAAGUCUUGAAAGACCAUAUCAGCGUCAUCGAGCAGUAGGUGAGCUCCCGAGGCUCAAAACUGGAGUUGUUGCGAACACGAACCCUAGCAAGAGCCGUGCUUCGCAAAAUAUACCACCGGAUCGAAAACGCAACCCACUGAGAAGAUCCGGCGAGAAACUCAGUGAGCUGUGUGUCUGUGGGUUAAUUUACUCGCCGAGCCCUUCGUCACAAGCGACGGGUUCGACGAGAAUGGUUGGGACACUCAGCAUAAGCUCAGUUUCAUAGAACUGUGAUUUACUCUUUGGAAGUGAAUUAUUUUUUCCGAAUAUUUUAUGAUUUGAUUACGAAGCCUUUAAGCCACGAAGUACGAUUGUAGUUGUUAGAAUAAUGGACAACAGUAGAUAGAUAUAUUAAGCAAAAUUAUAGAAAAGUGGCCUAUUCCUUCUCCCCUAAAAUUUUAAGGCAAACCCAAAAGCAACAUAUUUUUGUUAUGUCCUACACUUAAUGGUGCUUACGUUGUUCAAGAUUUACCCUAGUAAUAGCAGUGCUUCGCUGAAUCUAUCAAUAGCAGCGCUUCGCUGAAUCUACCACUGGAUCGAAUCGUGACUUACUGAAAAGAUCCGGCAAGAUGGAACUCAGUGAGUUAUGUUUAUAAGCUAAGCUGCACUCUGGUAGAACUCUUUGUCGUAUUCGACGAGCUCGACGAAAACGAUGUCCAGCGCUUGGAAAGCUUAGAAGCACCGAGAAUUGAUUCGGAGAAUCCGACAAGUCAUGUUUUGAGUGACGGGGAGUUCGCGUUAUCCCGUCGCCUUACUAUUGUUGUCACAACAUACAUACAGUUGAUAAAAAUCUCUAAUUAUUGUAUAAUACUUUAAGUGAAAUGGGAAGCGGAAUGAAAUUAGUUUAUUUGAAAUUGUAAUACACUUAUAUAGAUUUGAAUGAAAUGGAGUGCAACGAGACGAGGUGAGAUAAAAUGAAAUGACAUCCUAGUAAAGCAAGCAAAUUGCUCUAAGAACUGAGUCGUAAAUUAUUAAAUGAAAUACGAAUAGUUCAAGAAAGUAUGCGUAACCGCUAUAAAAUGAGCGAGCAACAUGGGUGCAAGCUAUAAAAAAUAAAGCGAAUGUGAAUAAGGAAAAGGGAAUUUCUCGGGCAACACCAUUAAUACAAGCGGAAACGUCAUUAUUUUUACUUGACUGCUAAUGUCGAAGUAGGUACUUAAAUCAUGUGCUGGAUUAUCUACUUCUUCUUGGCCUGAUCCCACAUUAUUUAGACUAGCCGCAGCAUGUAUCAUGCUGCAUCCCUAUUCAGAAUCCCCAAUCCUUGAGAGUCUCUAUUCGGCAUGAGUUUUACGACCGUCCGCUUACCGGACGCAUACACUCCUGAGGUUAUAUCUCCAGUAGUUUAUCAAUUGCAAAAUGCUUUAAUUUUUCUUCUUUUUGUGUUUUACUUUAUCCGUUUUUGGUGUACGAUUUGCAUUUAUAAUUAUAAAUAAAACAUUUUUUCUUUGUA